GUCUUGCUCUGUCGCCCAGGCUGGAGUGCAGUGGCAUGAUCUUGGCUCACUGCAACCUCCACUUCCUGUGCUCAAGCGAUCCUUGUGCCUCAGCCUCCUGAGUAGCUGGGACUACAGGUGCACGCCACCAUGCCUGGCUAAUCUGUGCAUUUUCAGUAGAGACGGGGUUUCACUAUGUUGGCCAGGCUGGUCUCAAACUCCUGACUUCAGGUGAUCUGCCCGCCUUGGCCUCCCAAAGUGUGGGAUUACAGGUGUGAGCCACCACACCUGGCCUCAGUGUAAAAUUUUUGUUCCUCAUGUCCCUCAUGUAAGACAGAGGUAUAUAGAAGUGCCUAUCUGAGCACACAGCAGGGUCUCCUAGCCCAAAUACAGGAGUGAGGGGAGACUUCCUGGAGGAGAUAAUUCUGAGCUGAGUCUUAAGGGUUUAUAGGAAUUAUUCCGAUGGAGAAGAGGUUAAGGAUUGCCACACAAAAGAUGCAACUAGAUCAAAGACUUUGAGAGUGAGAGGGAACAUGGACAAUUGAGGAGCUGCCAGUAAUUCAGUGUGGCUGAAGCUCAAAUUCACGAUGGAAAGUUGAAGGAGAUGAUGCUGGAAAGACACAAAUGUACCAGAUGAUAAAGGACCUUGCAUGUCACACUGUGGGAGUUUAGAUACAAGGUGAACAUAAGAGUUGUGAUGACUCAGGUUUUCAACUUGGGUCACUGGUGAGGAGUGGGGACAUAAGGGGCAAUGCAGAAGAAAGAGCUUUGGAUGAUAAUGGUGGGUUUAUGUUUUGACAUAAUGAGUGCAGGCAUGUCUUGGAGACAGCUGGAUAUACGAGUCUGGAGAUCAGAAGAGAAAUUGGUCAAGAUAAUGAAUGUGGGAGUUGUGAACAUACAGCUUGUAUCCAUGGGUAGGGACGAGUCCACUGCAGGAGAGCGUAUAGAAUGAAAAGAGAACAAAGCUAAGAAUAGAAUCCAGAGAAACUGUUUUCUUUAAAGAAUAAAUCAGUGGAGGAGAAAAUGAAAAUCUUGUGUCAUGGUGCCAAGGAAAAAAGAAGUUUCAAGAAGACAGAUUGGGGCAGCAAUUGCAAAUACCACAGAGAGGACAAAUUAAUUAAGCAUGAAUUCAUGAACAAGGGGAUCAUUACUAUUACCAAAAAUGUUGCACAGCAGCAGAGAGAAUAAUGACAGUGACCACGUUUGAGCGUCAUCUUGGUGUGUCAGGUACUCGGCAUGUUAUAUAUGUCACCAUAUUUAAAUUGCACAUUAACAAUUUACAGAUCAGGUAACUAAGGCUUCAGCAGAUUAAGUGUCUCAUCCAAAGCUGUUCUGCUAUCCAGUGACUGUCAGAUCUAAAUGACUCCAACGUCUCUCCAUCACUCUUCCUAAGAGAAUGCAAACUAUAAGAGAGAAGAUACAUGACACAGCAGAACUUUGCCUAGUGGCAUCAUGGACUAGGAGUUGUGAACGAAAUAAAGACUGCGACACUUUCGUCUUCUUUUGGAACCGGGAUAGGA
rnacentral:lncRNA from 10 species